CCUACGGGGCGCAGCAGGCGAGAAAACUUUGCAAUGUGCGAAAGCACGACAAGGUUAAUCCGAGUGGUUUCUGCUAAAGAAACCUUUUGUUAGUCCUAGAAACACUGAUGAAUAAGGGGUGGGCAAGUUCUGGUGUCAGCCGCCGCGGUAAAACCAGCACCUCAAGUGGUCAGGAUGAUUAUUGGGCCUAAAGCAUCCGUAGCCGGCUAUGUAAGUUUUCGGUUAAAUCUGUGCGCUUAACGUACAGGCUGCCGGGAAUACUGCAUAGCUAGGAAGUGGGAGAGGUAGACGGUACUCGGUAGGAAGGGGUAAAAUCCUUUGAUCUAUUGAUGACCACCUGUGGCGAAGGCGGUCUACCAGAACACGUUCGACGGUGAGGGAUGAAAGCUGGGGGAGCAAACCGGAUUAGAUACCCGAGUAGUC
rnacentral:rRNA from 1 species